UGAGGAAUAUUGGUCAAUGGGCGAGAGCCUGAACCAGCCAAGUAGCGUGCAGGAUGACGGCCCUAUGGGUUGUAAACUGCUUUUAUAUGGGAAUAAAGUGAGGGACGUGUCCCUUAUUGCAUGUACCAUAUGAAUAAGGACCGGCUAAUUCCGUGCCAGCAGCCGCGGUAAUACGGAAGGUCCAGGCGUUAUCCGGAUUUAUUGGGUUUAAAGGGAGCGUAGGCUGUUUGUUAAGCGUGUUGUGAAAUGUAGGAGCUCAACUUCUAGAUUGCAGCGCGAACUGUCAGACUUGAGUGCGCACAACGUAGGCGGAAUUCAUGGUGUAGCGGUGAAAUGCUGAGAUAUCAUGAAGAACUCCGAUUGCGAAGGCAGCUUACGGGAGCGCAACUGACGCUGAAGCUCGAAGGUGCGGGUAUCGAACAGG
rnacentral:rRNA from 1 species